ACAAGUUUCUUAUAGUUCGUGUUGUAUUUACUUUUUUUUGAAAUCUCUUUUAGAAAACUAGUGAGAAAACAUAGUAAAUCAUCCUGCUUGUUUCCCUUCCUGAAAUUAUAUAAAAAGGCAAUGCUUCUUUAAGCAGGGCUUACCCCAUAGACUCCAGCAAGGUUAGACAUUGCAAUAUUUAACGUAGCUUCUAAAGGCAAUUUCAUUACCAAAUGGAUAAACUGCUUUUCUGAGAAGUUAACACUCGCAGAGUCCUUCCCAGGUGAACAAAUGGUCUAUCAGGUGUAAGCUAAGGUGCCUCCAUGGGCUAUGCGGCACGCUCAGCCCUCUUCCAUCGAGGCAGCAGUUCGGGGCUUCUCCUCUACUGACUUCUGUAAGGGUGGUUCUGGCCAGGUUCUCUCGAAUGCACAGAAAGGACCUUUUAUGCAACCACACUCUAACGUAAACAGGACUUUCUCUUUGAGAUCCUUCCCAGGGCAUCCUAAGCAACAACUAAACCAGCUAGGUUUAUUUCCUCAGACCUUAAGCCUGAAAGAUUUGUGUGGCUGUAUAAACAGAUUGGAAUUAAAAUUCAAUUCACCCACAGUUCUGACCCAGUACCUCUUCGGUCCACGCAUGCAUGUAACCAAGUACAGUUAGACUGCAAAGAAGUAGUGAGGAUUCCUAGGCUAGCUAAGCUUGGCAACCCAGAAUUAAAGGUUCUUUUGAGCCUUUUGCGGCAGCUGAGGCCCAGACAGGUUGCCCGGCUUGCGCACAGCUUCACAGCUGGUCAGCGGUACAGUCAGGGCUAGAACCCAGAGACUGGCUUCCCAGGGCAUGCUCUUUCCACUACUGGCCAAUUAGUAGUAUUCUUCCGUUUUUGCUUCUUGGAAAACCGAGCAAAGUCAAAACAGCUCAUUCAAGGUCAGAGGGGUAGUCAAGCAGAACUGGCAAUGCCAGCCAGGAGAUUCUAAAACCCUAGAGGGGGAGACCCCUUCCCCUCGCCUACCCCCGUGGACCCUGUGUGAAUGUUUUUGUUGAUUGUUGAUUGUCUCCCAACACACAGUUUAGAGGAAGUCUCUCUUCCAGGUCAGCGACACGUGUUUAACUUCAGGUUCUAAUGCCAGCGGUUGUUACUGUCAGGGCAGGCACGCCCCCCAGUGCCCUGACCUGGCAGCCGGCAAAGGCUGCGGGGGCAGAUGCCCACCGCUCAACCGUGGUGGUCUCGCGGCCCUAGCAACUCGCAGCUCGCGCAUAGCAACUCGUCAGCGACAUUUUUCUGGGGUUAGAAACCUGGAGAGGGCAAUCUGGUGUCAGACUGAGCUGCGAGCAGCAUGGGUGGGCACGGCUAGUCUUGAAGGUACAGAGAAGCCUGUUAAAGACCCGUGGCCAAGCCUUACAAAGGCUGGCGCAAGCCUCACCUCCCGCAACAGUCCAGGGCACCCCGUCUACCUAAUUCUGGUAACUAAGUGCACUUCAGGUGACGUGACGCCCAGCACAACGCCCCCAAGUUCAGAGGGCCAGCGCCGCCUGCGCGGCUUCCCCCUUGGACGAAGCGCUCCCCCACCCCCACUCCCGCGCUGCAGACCGUUCUCAUUGGCACUUUCCCACGACCGAUGGUGCUAGAAGCUUUGACCUAAAAGGUACUAGAAGCAGAAAAACAGGCACUGCUUCUCCCAGGGCCAAGAACAUCAGCUCCUGGCCCAAAUGUGGGUUCUCCUGACCGAAGACUCCAAGGUGCCCAUUCUAUGUUGGUCUUCACAUUUCAUCUAUCACAUUGUUCAGGCAGACGUCUAUUGGGAGCUACGAAGCUCCAGGCACCGCGUUGGGCCCCGAGGACUCAGCGAUGCAGAGACCCGGCCCAGUCCCUGUGUUCACCAACCUUGCCGUCCAGUUGAGUUACUAUUGAGUGAACUCUCAGCCGAAGACUCCAUCACCAUCCACCCAUUCGUCUAUCCAUCCGAUGGAUUCCCCGUGUUUCUUAUUUUUUAUAAAUUUCUGAGAACAGCA